UGAGAUCUUCGGAUGGAUUUAAACAGCUUAGUGGCGGACGGGUGAGUAACGCGUGGGUAACCUGCCCUGUACAGGGGGAUAACAGUUAGAAAUGACUGCUAAUACCGCAUAAGACCACAGAGCCGCAUGGCUCAGUGGGAAAAACUCCGGUGGUAUGAGAUGGACCCGCGUCUGAUUAGCCAGUUGGCAGGGUAACGGCCUACCAAAGCGACGAUCAGUAGCCGACCUGAGAGGGUGACCGGCCACAUUGGGACUGAGACACGGCCCAAACUCC
rnacentral:rRNA from 1 species